CCAGCUCGUUACUGUUCAUCAUUGGUUACAUGUACUGCGUGUAUUGGAUGUGGACGCUGGAGGAGGAUGUGUCCUAAUGAAUACCCUGUCUCCGUGGGGAGAACCUGAGUUAUUCUCCAGAGAAAGCUACGUUUCCUUCUCCCCGACGAUCGGGCCCUGUUAUAGCUCCGUAAAGGACCGUAACCACAUUCAAGUUGGGGGCUCCGUGUUCAUUUAUGGCCGCAGUGCUGUCCUGUUUCAAUUAUGUCCUAAUCCCGUGUCGACUAUAUCAACUGUCAUCUGAUUCCAUCGUAUUUUGUACUUGAGUUGAUAUUUUCUUUAGUUUCUGUUUGUUUUUACAAAGUUUUCAUUUUCUUUUGGGAAUUGAUAUUAGCUGCAGAGAUUGGUGUUAGAAUUUGAGCCUUAAUUCCUGCUCCUCUCUCAAUUUAAUUCAUUUGGAUGUUUCUUAUU